UACGUAGGGGGCAAGCGUUGUCCGGAUUUAUUGGGCGUAAAGAGCGUGUAGGCGGCCAGGCAGGUCCGUUGUGAAAACUCGAGGCUCAACCUCGAGACGCCGAUGGAAACCGUCUGGCUAGAGUCCGGAAGAGGAGAGUGGAAUUCCUGGUGUAGCGGUGAAAUGCGCAGAUAUCAGGAAGAACACCCGUGGCUAAGGCGGCUCUCUGGGACGGUACUGACGCUGAGACGCGAAAGCGUGGGGAGCAAACAGG
rnacentral:rRNA from 1 species